rnacentral:tRNA from 1 species
GGAGAUGUGGUCGAGCGGUUUAAGGCGCGCGCUUGGAAAGCGCGUAUAUGUGAAAACGUAUCGCAGGUUCAAAUCCUGUCAUCUCCGCCA